rnacentral:rRNA from 1 species
GACGAACGCUGGCGGCGUGCUUAACACAUGCAAGUCGAACGGAAAGGCCCUGCUUUUGUGGGGUGCUCGAGUGGCGAACGGGUGAGUAACACGUGAGUAACCUGCCCUUGACUUUGGGAUAACUUCAGGAAACUGGGGCUAAUACCGGAUAGGAGCUCCUGCUGCAUGGUGGGGGUUGGAAAGUUUCGGCGGUUGGGGAUGGACUCGCGGCUUAUCAGCUUGUUGGUGGGGUAGUGGCUUACCAAGGCUUUGACGGGUAGCCGGCCUGAGAGGGUGACCGGCCCAAUGGGGCCUGGGGACCGGCCCAGGCUCCUCCGGGGGGGAGCGGGGGGGAAUUUGCCCCAAGGGGCGGAGGCGUGAUGCAGCAACGCCGGGGGCGGGAGGAGGGCCUUCGGGUGGAAAACCGAUUUCGCCUGUGACGAAGCGUGAGUGGCGGUAAUGGUGAAAGAAGCACCGGCUAACUCCGU